UCCUCCUGUUGUUGCUGCCAUCACCACUGGUGUGGGGAGGGGAGGGGAGGGGAAUGAAGGGGAGAAAGUUGCUCUCCACUUUGUCCUGCUGCCAUCACCACCUUCUCAACUUUCUCUCCUUCAUUCCCCUCCCUGCCCCACAGUGGCAACAACGACAGAAGC